CCCUUAGAUGUUCUGGGCCGCACGCGCGCUACACUGAUGCAUUCAACGAGUCUAAAACCUGCUCUGAUAGGGGUGGGUAAUCUUUUGAAUGUGCAUCGUGAUUGGGAUAGAUGAUUGAAAUUUUUCAUCUUCAACGAGGAAUGCCUAGUAAACGCAAGUCAUCAGCUUGCAUUGAUUACGUCCCUGCCCUUUGUACACACCGCCCGUCGCUCCUACCGAUUGAAUGAUCCGAUGAAUAUCAUGGAUUGAGGACGCAAGUAGGUUCACCUAUCUUCAUCUUCGAGAAGUGAAGUAAAUCUUAUCAUUUAGAGGAAGGAGAAGUCGUAACA
rnacentral:rRNA from 1 species